rnacentral:rRNA from 1 species
UACGGGGGGGUGCGAGCGUUUGUCCGGAAUCACUGGGCGUAAAGGGCGCGUAGGUGGCGUGAUAAGGGUGUGGUGAAAGCCCGGGGCUCAACCCCGGGUCUGCCAUGCCGACUGUCAGGCUGGAGUACUGUAGGGGCAGGCGGAAUUCCGGGUGUAGCGGUGGAAUGCGUAGAGAUCGGGGAAGAACAUCAGUGGCGAAGGCGGCCUGCUGGGGCUGUUGCUGACGCUGAGGCGCGACAGCGUGGGGGAGCGAACAGG